AGAGUUUGAUCCUGGCUCAGAACGAACGCUGGCGGCAUGCCUAAUACAUGCAAGUCGAACGAUCUCUUCGGAGAUAGUGGCGCACGGGUGCGUAACGCGUGGGAAUCUGCCCUUGGGUUCGGAAUAACAUCGGGAAACUGAUGCUAAUACCGGAUGAUGACGUAAGUCCAAAGAUUUAUCGCCCAGGGAUGAGCCCGCGUAGGAUUAGCUAGUUGGUGAGGUAAAGGCUCACCAAGGCGACGAUCCUUAGCUGGUCUGAGAGGAUGAUCAGCCACACUGGGACUGAGACACGGCCCAGACUCCUACGGGAGGCAGCAGUAGGGAAUAUUGGACAAUGGGGGCAACCCUGAUCCAGCAAUGCCGCGUGAGUGAUGAAGGCCUUAGGGUUGUAAAGCUCUUUUACCCGGGAUGAUAAUGACAGUACCGGGAGAAUAAGCCCCGGCUAACUCCGUGCCAGCAGCCGCGGUAAUACGGAGGGGGCUAGCGUUGUUCGGAAUUACUGGGCGUAAAGCGCACGUAGGCGGCGAUUUAAGUCAGAGGUGAAAGCCCGGGGCUCAACCCCGGAACUGCCUUUGAGACUGGAUUGCUUGAACAUCGGAGAGGUGAGUGGAAUUCCGAGUGUAGAGGUGAAAUUCGNANNUAUUCGGAAGAACACCAG
rnacentral:rRNA from 1 species